rnacentral:tRNA from 1 species
GAGCGCUCGCUUUGCAUGCGAGAAGUCUGGAGUUCGAUUCCCCAUACCUCCA